rnacentral:rRNA from 1 species
UUCUAUUAGAAAUAAUUAAUAGUAAAGCCUGCUCAAUGAAUUUUUCAAUAGCCGCAAUUUUAGUGCUAAGGUAGCAUAAUCAUUUGUCUUCUAAUUAAAGACUAGAAUGAAAGGCCUCACAUUUAAAUUAAUUUUUUAAUAUUUAAAUAAUAUAAAUUACUCAAAAUGUAAAAAAUCAUUUAUAAAAAAAAAAGACAACAAGACCCUAUCAAACUUUACUGAAGUUUUACUGGGGCAGUAAAUUAAUUAAUAUUUUAAUUUUUUUAAAAAAAAUAAAAGACCUAAUAGAAUUAAAUCUGAUUAAGUUACUGUAGGGAUAACAGCGCAAUUAUUUUUAUUAGAACUUAUAAAAAAUUCAGCUUGCGACCUCGAUGUUGAAUUAAUUAUCUAUAUUACGCAAUAGUAAUAUAAGAAGGUCUGUUCGACCUAUAAUACAUUACA